UACGAAGGGGGCGAGCGUUAUUCGGAAUCACUGGGCGUAAAGCGUGCGUAGGCUGUUCUGCAAGUCAGGAGUGAAAGCCCAAGGCUCAACCUUGGAAGCGCUCUUGAAACUGCAGGACUAGAAUUUGGGAGAGGAUAGCGGAAUUGUCAGUGUAGCAGUGAAAUGCGUAGAUAUUGACAGGAACACCAGUGGCGCAAGCGGCUAUCUGGACCAACAUUGACGCUGAGGCGCGAAAGCUAGGGGAGCAAACGGG
rnacentral:rRNA from 1 species